CUAACUCAAAUCUGAAUGGAGUUGGAACAAAUUCACUACGUUUGCCGCUAGGGGCGCUGUUUCGACUCCAUACAAAUUUGCGUUA
rnacentral:pre_miRNA from 1 species